GUUAUUAUCAAUCAGGCGACGUCAUAUCAUAAACAUAACCUGAAAAUUUCUUUGACAGUCCGUUUGUUGCCAGUGGUUUGUUGUACUGCAACAAAGGUUUUUCGCUAAAAACGGGUUGUUUGAUUUUAUUUCUGACCUCAGGUUAAAGUAUACAAAAAUAAUGUCUUCCCGUGACAACCAAGAGGAUUUAUCCAAUUUAAUACGAGAAUUCCACGCUUCCGAAAGCGAACUGUUCAAGUCAAAAACGAUUUACGACCAUUUCCAAAAAAUAAUUCUGGAGAAUUUGGAAAACAAUUUAAGAGAUGCGGAAGAGGACGUUUCAAGCACCAGUAAUGGCAGAAGUAGACAGAGCGAGGAGAAAUUGUCAUGCGUUUCCAAGAGCGUCGAGAAGAGGAUCCAUCAAAUGGAGAAUUAUAAAAACGCAUUGAAACAAUCGAAGAUCUCCGGUGACAAGUUGGCCUUUUUAAACGCGUUGAAUCAAUAAAUAUAUUUUUUUUAAA